CCUACGGGAGGCUGCAGUGGGGAAUAUUGGACAAUGGGCGAAAGCCUGAUCCAGCCAUGCCGCGUGUGUGAAGAAGGCCUUCGGGUUGUAAAGCACUUUCAGUGGGGAAGAAAGCCUUGGGGCUAAUACCCUCGAGGAAGGACAUCACCCACAGAAGAAGCACCGGCUAACUCCGUGCCAGCAGCCGCGGUAAUACGGAGGGUGCGAGCGUUAAUCGGAAUUACUGGGCGUAAAGCGCGCGUAGGCGGUCUGAUAAGCCGGUUGUGAAAGCCCCGGGCUCAACCUGGGAACGGCAUCCGGAACUGUCAGGCUAGAGUGCAGGAGAGGAAGGUAGAAUUCCUGGUGUAGCGGUGAAAUGCGUAGAGAUCGGGAGGAAUACCAGUGGCGAAGGCGGCCUUCUGGACUGACACUGACGCUGAGGUGCGAAAGCGUGGGUAGCAAACAGGAUUAGAUACCCCGGUAGUC
rnacentral:rRNA from 1 species